rnacentral:sRNA from 1 species
AGCAGCCGCGGUAAUUCCAGCUCCAAUAGCGUAUAUUAAAGUUGUUGCAGUUAAAAAGCUCGUAGUUGAAUUUCGGGGUCAGUAGAUUGGUCGUGCCACUGGUAUGUACUGGCCUUACUGGCUCCUCCUUCCUGAUGAACCGUAAUGCCAUUAAUUUGGUGUUGCGGGGAAACUGGACUGUUACUUUGAAAAAAUUAGAGUGUUUAAAGCAGGCUAACGCUUGAAUACAUUAGCAUGGAAUAAUGAAAUAGGACGUUCGAUCUUAUUUUGUUGGUUUCUAGGAUUGACGUAAUGAUUAAUAGGGAUAGUUGGGGGCAUUAGUAUUCAAUUGUCAGAGGUGAAAUUCUUGGAUUUAUUGAAGACUAACUACUGCGAAAGCAUUUGCCAAGGAUGUUUUCAUUAAUCAAGAACGAAAGUUAGGGGAUCAAAGACGAUCAGAUACCGUCGUAGUCUUAACCAUAAACUAUGCCGACUAGGGAUCGGAUGAUGUUAAUUUUUUAAUGACUCAU